rnacentral:rRNA from 1 species
CGAGAAGACCCUGUGGAGCUUUAGACUUAAAAUAAAUCAUGUUUAAUAUCUAAUUUUACCAGCACAAACCAAAUGAUUCUCUAUUUAAAUGUCUUUGGUUGGGGCGACCGAGG